rnacentral:rRNA from 1 species
AUUGAACGCUGGCGGCAGGCUUAACACAUGCAAGUCGAGCGGGGAAGGGUAGCUUGCUACCUGACCUAGCGGCGGACGGGUGAGUAAUGCUUAGGAAUCUGCCUAUUAGUGGGGGACAACAUUCCGAAAGGAAUGCUAAUACCGCAUACGCCCUACGGGGGAAAGCAGGGGAUCUUCGGACCUUGCGCUAAUAGAUGAGACUAAGUCAGAUUAGCUAGUUGGUGGGGUAAAGGCCUACCAAGGCGACGAUCUGUAGCGGGUCUGAGAGGAUGAUCCGCCACACUGGGACUGAGACACGGCCCAGACUCCUACGGGAGGCAGCAGUGGGGAAUAUUGGACAAUGGGCGAAAGCCUGAUCCAGCCAUGCCGCGUGUGUGAAGAAGGCCUUUUGGUUGUAAAGCACUUUAAGCGAGGAGGAGGCUACCGAGAUUAAUACUCUUGGAUAGUGGACGUUACUCGCAGAAUAAGCACCGGCUAACUCUGUGCCAGCAGCCGCGGUAACAC